CAGUCGCCGCGGUAAUACGUAGGGUGCGAGCGUUAAUCGGAAUUACUGGGCGUAAAGCGUGCGCAGGCGGUUGUGUAAGACAGGUGUGAAAUCCCCGGGCUUAACCUGGGAACUGCGCUUGUGACUGCACAGCUAGAGUAUGGCAGAGGGGGGUGGAAUUCCACGUGUAGCAGUGAAAUGCGUAGAGAUGUGGAGGAACACCGAUGGCGAAGGCAGCCCCCCGGGCCAAUACUGACGCUCAUGCACGAAAGCGUGGGGAGCAAACAGGAUUAGAUACCCGAGUAGUCCCUGUCUCUUAUAC
rnacentral:rRNA from 1 species